CGGAAAUUAGCGCAGCCCGGUAGCGCGCCUGCUUUGGGAGCAGGAUGUCAUUGGUUCAAAUCCAAUAUUUCCGACCA
rnacentral:tRNA from 1 species